GAUGAACGCUAGCUACAGGCUUAACACAUGCAAGUCGAGGGGUAACAAGAGAAAAGCUUGCUUUUCUUGUUGACGACCGGCGCACGGGUGAGUAACGCGUAUCCAACCUGCCUAUAACUAGGGAAUAACCUUGCGAAAGUAAGACUAAUACCCUAUGAUUUCCUUUGAUGACAUCAGAUUAGGAAUAAAGGUUUAUCGGUUAUAGAUGGGGAUGCGUCUGAUUAGCUUGUUGGCGGGGUAACGGCCCACCAAGGCAACGAUCAGUAGGGGUUCUGAGAGGAAGGUCCCCCACAUUGGAACUGAGACACGUUCCAAACUCCUACGGGAGGCAGCAGUGAGGAAUAUUGGUCAAUGGGCGGAAGCCUGAACCAGCCAAGUAGCGUGCAGGAUGACGGCCCUAUGGGUUGUAAACUGCUUUUAUACAGGAAUAAAGUUAGCCACGUGUGGUUAUUUGUAGGUACUGUAUGAAUAAGGACCGGCUAAUUCCGUGCCAGCCGCCGCAGUAA
rnacentral:rRNA from 1 species